UAAGGAAUAUUGCUCAAUGGGAGAAAUCCUGAAGCAGCAACGCCGCGUGGAGGAUGAAGGGUCUAUGACUUGUAAACUCCUGUAAAGAAGGAAAAAAUUCCCAUUUGAUGGGAGAUGAUGGUACUUCUGGAGUAAGCCCCGGCUAACUACGUGCCAGCAGCCGCGGUAAUACGUAGGGGGCAAGCGUUGUCCGGAUUUACUGGGUGUAAAGGGUGCUCAGGCGGAUUUGCAAGUCAGAGGUGAAAUCUUACAGCUUAACUGUGAAACUGCCUUUGAUACUGCAAGCCUAGAGUAUGGAAGAGAGUGAUGGAAUAUCUGGUGUAGCAGUGAAAUGCGUAGAUAUCAGAUAGAACACCAAUGGCGAAGGCAGUCACUUGGUCCAUUACUGACGCUAAAGCACGAAAGCGUGGGUAGCAAACA
rnacentral:rRNA from 1 species